GAAGUGAAUUAUAUAUUGACUGUAAGUAAUGUGGAAUAUAUAUCCGAGGACCGAGAAGGGCUGGUAAGAGUUGGGGGUGUCACCGGAGCUGAAACCGAAGGAUAAGGGCUUUGGUUGGCUGACAGGUUCUCUUACUAUGGGAAACAAGCCUGUGAAAGAAGAAAAGGAAGAGAUUUUCUUGAAGAUUGUUCCUCCUUUGGACCGUGCAUAUGUUCGAUGGCUAGCUAGGGAUCUUGAGAGGAUUCAUGGCUUUACACCAAAAAAUCCCCGUGCGGUCAAGCCUCCAGAUCAUUAUAUCGAGUACAUGCGUUUGAAUGGAUGGCUGGAUGUGAAUUUGGAUGAUCCUGAUCUUGCUCAUUUAUUCAAAUAGAUGAUCGUAAGAUGUUGUGGCCUUUUGCUUUUUAGCCUGUUCUUGAAUGCACCAUGUUGGUGUUAAUGCAUCAUAGGAAUAUUUCCAGAUAAAAAUGAUUGAAUAUUGGAUCUCAUAAGGCUGUUAUGAUGAGGAAAUUCAAAAUUAUGUAAAUCAAUUCAGGUAGUUUUUGUCA